UACAGAGACUGCAAGCGUUAUUCGGAUUCACUGGGCGUAAAGGGUGCGCAGGCGGCCAAGUGUGUCAGGUGUGAAAUCCCGAGCUUAACCUCGGAACUGCGCCUGAAACUACUUGGCUAGAGUACUGGAAAGGGUAACGGAAUUCACGGUGUAGCAGUGAAAUGCGUAGAUAUCGUGAGGAACACCAGAGGCGAAGGCGGUUACCUGGACAGUUACUGACGCUCAGGCACGAAAGCGUGGGGAGCAAAAGGG
rnacentral:rRNA from 1 species